CAACAGUCGCCGCGGUAAUACAGAGGGUGCGAGCGUUAAUCGGAUUUACUGGGCGUAAAGCGUGCGUAGGCGGCUUCUUAAGUCGGAUGUGAAAUCCCUGAGCUUAACUUAGGAAUUGCAUUCGAUACUGGGAAGCUAGAGUAUGGGAGAGGAUGGUAGAAUUCCAGGUGUAGCGGUGAAAUGCGUAGAGAUCUGGAGGAAUACCGAUGGCGAAGGCAGCCAUCUGGCCUAAUACUGACGCUGAGGUACGAAAGCAUGGGGAGCAAACAGGAUUAGAUACCCCAGUAGUCCCUGUCUCUUAUAC
rnacentral:rRNA from 1 species